AAUUGAAAUGAUGAAUAAAUCAUUCGGAUUCCCAAUGAACAUUCAAGAAUGAUUACAAUCAGCAAUUUCUGACUCUU